rnacentral:rRNA from 1 species
UACGUAGGUGGCAAGCGUUGUUCGGAAUUAUUGGGCGUAAAGCGUGCGUAGGCGGCUGCGCAAGUCGGGUGUGAAACCCCGGGGCUCAACCCCGGAACUGCAUCCGAUACUGCGUGGCUAGAGGUAGGUAGGGGAGAUCGGAAUUCCUGGUGUAGCGGUGAAAUGCGCAGAUAUCAGGAGGAACACCGGUGGCGAAGGCGGAUCUCUGGGCCUUACCUGACGCUCAGGCACGAAAGCUAGGGGAGCGAACAGG